rnacentral:rRNA from 1 species
AACCAGCACCUCAAGUGGUCAGGAGGAUUAUUGGGCCUAAAGCAUCCGUAGCCGGCUCUGUAAGUUUUCGGUUAAAUCUAUAUGCUCAACGUAUAGGCUGCCGAAAAUACUGCAUAGCUAGGGAAUGGGAGAGGUAGACGGUACUCGGUAGGAAGGGGUAAAAUCCUUUGAUCUAUCGAUGACCACCUGUGGCGAAGGCGGUCUACCAGAACAUGUUCGACGGUGAGGGAUGAAAGCUGGGGGAGCAAACCGG